GUUUGAGGGUCGUCCGAAGUAAUAAUUGUUUCCGCCUCCCCAACUCCGUCAUGGUUAUCCAGGUUUAUUUAAGUAAUGUUGAUUCGUCUCUUUAUUGAAGCGUAAUUCACAUAUAGUGAAAUCAGACGUACAGAUUUCAGCUGUCCAUUUCGAUGAGUUUUGAUAAAUGGACCCAACAGUCAAAACAAAACACUGGAUUGAAUCCCGCUUGUUGCUGGAAUUUAGCUGCAGAGGAAGCCAGCUGGUGGCAGCAGAAGAGACAAGAUAGAGAGUACAAGAUGGUAGCAGAGACGGCCUGAAUUACAGAAGAUCAAGUUUGCUCCCUCUGAUGAAGCAAGCUGCUAUGUUGUGAGGUGCUAUGUUGUGAGGUGCUAUGUUGAGAGGCCCACAUGGCAAGGUAUUGAUGGCCAACAGCCAGAGAGGAACUGAAGCUCUUAGACCAACAGCCUGCAAGAGACUGAAUCCUGCCAACACCAAGUGAGCAUGGAAGCACACCCUUCCCCAGUGGAGCCUUGAGAUGAUUGCAGCGCUAGCUGACACCGUGGCUACAGCCUGUGAGAGACCCUGAGCCAGAAGACCCCACUAAGCUGCACCUAGAUUCCUGAUGCGCAGAAACAGUAAGAUAACAAAUGUUGUUUUAGGCCACUAAAUUUGGGGGUAAUUUCUUA